rfam:Ornithorhynchus anatinus chromosome 20, whole genome shotgun sequence.
AGGCUUACCUGGCAGGGGAGAUACCGUCAUCACGUAGGUGGUUUCCCCAGGGCGAGGCUCAUCCGCUGCACUCCGGAUGCGCUAACCCCCGCCAUUUCCCAAAAGGCCGGAAGCUCAACUGCAGAAUCGGCGGCGGCGGGGGGGCCGCGUUCACCCCGUCUCCCCG